ensembl:lncRNA LINC02429 long intergenic non-protein coding RNA 2429
ACACAGUCUUUGAGAUGUAAGAACUUUAUGACAUAAUUAUGAAGAUAAACAUUGAUCCUCACAUCUGCUCUGUCAAACUAAGCGUAAGUGGUUCACAGUCUGUACCACAGCUAAAUUUAAAGUAAUAGAGAAUUUACUGAAUAACUAUUCAUCAGCAUGAUGGGCUCUUACAACGUAGAAGAAUAAUACACCUGCUGAUAAUCGUGUUUCUUCCAAUAGUUUAUACUAAUGGAAUUUAGAGCAAAAGUAGAUUCUUUGUCUUGCUUAUGAAAUAACCUGAUUAGGGGCUGGGCACAGUGGCUCAUGCCUGUAAUCACAACACUUUGGGAGGCCGAGGUGGGCAGACCACUUGAGGUCAGGAGUUCAAGAACAGCCUGGCCAACAAGAGCUGAGAACCCACUCUAUCAACAUUAAACAGCGGCAGUUCCUGUAAGUUUUUAAGGGUUAUUGGAAGAUGACUUUACUUGUCUUCAUACAGUUUCACCUAAAUUAUGUUGGUGCUGUUGCUUUAGGACCUUCAGACCUGGAUGGGGACGUAUGAUAAGGAUCCUGGUUCUCAGGCCUUCUGGUCUGCACUGUAGCUAUACCUCCAGCUUUCCUGUGCUGUCAGUUUGGAGACAGCAGGUCAUGAGACUUCACUGCAUUCAUAAUUAUGUGAGCCAGUUUGUCAUGGUAAAUAUGUAUGUAUGCAUGUAUGUAUCCAUCCAUCCAUCCUGUUGAUUCUGUUUCUCUGGAGAACGCUGAUUAAAACACCUCUCUGCCUUCAGAA